rnacentral:rRNA from 1 species
ACGCUAGCUACAGGCUUAACACAUGCAAGUCGAGGGGCAGCAUGGUCUUAGCUUGCUAAGGCCGAUGGCGACCGGCGCACGGGUGAGUAACACGUAUCCAACCUGCCGUCUACUCUUGGACAGCCUUCUGAAAGGAAGAUUAAUACAAGAUGGCAUCAUGAGUCCGCAUGUUCACAUGAUUAAAGGUAUUCCGGUAGACGAUGGGGAUGCGUUCCAUUAGAUAGUAGGCGGGGUAACGGCCCACCUAGUCUUCGAUGGAUAGGGGUUCUGAGAGGAAGGUCCCCCACAUUGGAACUGAGACACGGUCCAAACUCCUACGGGAGGCAGCAGUGAGGAAUAUUGGUCAAUGGGCGAGAGCCUGAACCAGCCAAGUAGCGUGAAGGAUGACUGCCCUAUGGGUUGUAAACUUCUUUUAUAAAGGAAUAAAGUCGGGUAUGGAUACCCGUUUGCAUGUACUUUAUGAAUAAGGAUCGGCUAACUCCGUGCCAGCAGCCGCGGUAAUACGGAGGAUCCGAGCGUUAUCCGGAUUUAUUGGGUUUAAAGGGAGCGUAGAUGGAUGUUUAAGUCAGUUGUGAAAGUUUGCGGCUCAACCGUAAAAUUGCAGUUGAUACUGGAUAUCUUGAGUGCAGUUGAGGCAGGCGGAAUUCGUGGUGUAGCGGUGAAAUGCUUAGAUAUCACGAAGAACUCCGAUUGCGAAGGCAGCCUGCUAAGCUGCAACUGACAUUGAGGCUCGAAAGUGUGGGUAUCAAACAGGAUUAGAUACCCUGGUAGUCCACACGGUAAACGAUGAAUACUCGCUGUUUGCGAUAUACUGCAAGCGGCCAAGCGAAAGCGUUAAGUAUUCCACCUGGGGAGUACGCCGGCAACGGUGAAACUCAAAGGAAUUGACGGGGGCCCGCACAAGCGGAGGAACAUGUGGUUUAAUUCGAUGAUACGCGAGGAACCUUACCCGGGCUUAAAUUGCAGAUGAAUUACGGUGAAAGCCGUAAGCCGCAAGGCAUCUGUGAAGGUGCUGCGUGGUUGUCGUCAGCUCGUGCCGUGAGGUGUCGGCUUAAGUGCCAUAACGAGCGCAACCCUUGUUGUCAGUUACUAACAGGUUCCGCUGAGGACUCUGACAAGACUGCCAUCGUAAGAUGUGAGGAAGGUGGGGAUGACGUCAAAUCAGCACGGCCCUUACGUCCGGGGCUACACACGUGUUACAAUGGGGGGUACAGAGGGCCGCUACCACGCGAGUGGAUGCCAAUCCCCAAAACCUCUCUCAGUUCGGACUGGAGUCUGCAACCCGACUCCACGAAGCUGGAUUCGCUAGUAAUCGCGCAUCAGCCACGGCGCGGUGAAUACGUUCCCGGGCCUUGUACACACCGCCCGUCAAGCCAUGGGAGCCGGGGGUACCUGAAGUGCGUAACCGCGAGGAGCGCCCUAGGGUAAAACUGGUGACUGGGGCUAAG